UACGUAGGGGGCUAGCGUUGCUCGGAAUCACUGGGCGUAAAGGGUGCGUAGGCGGGUUUUUAAGUCAGAGGUGAAAUCCUGGAGCUCAACUCCAGAACUGCCUUUGAUACUGGGAAUCUUGAGUAUGGAAGAGGUGAGUGGAACUGCGAGUGUAGAGGUGAAAUUCGUAGAUAUUCGCAAGAACACCAGUGGCGAAGGCGGCUCACUGGUCCAUAACUGACGCUGAGGCACGAAAGCGUGGGGAGCAAACAGG
rnacentral:rRNA from 1 species